CCGACUGCUAUUCGGGUAAGACUAAGCCAUGCAAGUCGAAUGGAACAGCUUGUUCCAUGGCGAACUGCUCAGUAACAAGUAAUCAACUUACCCUUCAGUGGAGAAUAACCUCGGGAAACUGAGGCUAAUACUUCAUAGUUGGAAAUUCCUGGAAAGGUUUUCCAUCGAAAGAUAUUUCUAAAUGCGGAAAAUUCGCUGAAGGAUAGGAUCGCUUUCGAUUACGGUUGUUGGUGAGGUAAUGGCUCACCAAGCCUAUGAUCGAUAAGGGCCGUGAGAGCGGUAGCCCUGAGAUGGAUACUGAGACAAUGAUCCAGGCCUUACGAGGCGCAGCAGGCGCGAAACCUUUACAAUGCACGAAAGUGUGAUAAGGUCACCCGGAGUGCUAAAAUUAAAUUUUAGCUGUUAUAGGUGUGUAAAUAACCCUAUGAGAAAGGAGAGGGCAAGGCUGGUGCCAGCCGCCGCGGUAAAACCAGCUCUUCAAGUGGUCGGGAAUAUUAUUGGGCUUAAAGUGUCCGUAGCCGGUUUGGUAAGUUCCUGGUUAAAUCUGGCAGCUUAACUGUCAGUCAGCUAGGAAUACUACUUUACUAGAGGGUGGGAAAGGUUUGAGGUACUCCAGGGGUAGCGGUGAAAUGCGAUAAUCCUUGGGGGACCACCAGUGGCGAAGGCGUCAGACUGGAACACGCCUGACGGUGAGGGACGAAAGCCAGGGGAGCGAACGGGAUUAAAUACCCCGGUAGUCCUGGCCGUAAACGAUGCGUGCUAGGUGUUGGUAGGGCUUUGAGCUGUAUCAGUGCCGUAGGGAAACUGUUAAGCGCGCCGCCUGGGAAGUACGCUCGCAAGGGUGAAACUUAAAGGAAUUGGCGGGGAAGCACCACAAGGGGUGAAGCCUGCGGUUCAAUUGGAUUCAACGCCGGA
rnacentral:rRNA from 1 species